rnacentral:rRNA from 1 species
AAAUUGAAGAGUUUGAUCAUGGCUCAGAUUGAACGCUGGCGGCAGGCCUAACACAUGCAAGUCGAGCGGUAGCACAGAGAGCUUGCUCUCGGGUGACGAGCGGCGGACGGGUGAGUAAUGUCUGGGAAACUGCCUGAUGGAGGGGGAUAACUACUGGAAACGGUAGCUAAUACCGCAUAAUGUCGCAAGACCAAAGUGGGGGACCUUCGGGCCUCAUGCCAUCAGAUGUGCCCAGAUGGGAUUAGCUAGUAGGUGGGGUAACGGCUCACCUAGGCGACGAUCCCUAGCUGGUCUGAGAGGAUGACCAGCCACACUGGAACUGAGACACGGUCCAGACUCCUACGGGAGGCAGCAGUGGGGAAUAUUGCACAAUGGGCGCAAGCCUGAUGCAGCCAUGCCGCGUGUGUGAAGAAGGCCUUCGGGUUGUAAAGCACUUUCAGCGGGGAGGAAGGCGUUAAGGUUAAUAACCUUGGCGAUUGACGUUACCCGCAGAAGAAGCACCGGCUAACUCCGUGCCAGCAGCCGCGGUAAUACGGAGGGUGCAAGCGUUAAUCGGAAUUACUGGGCGUAAAGCGCACGCAGGCGGUCUGUCAAGUCGGAUGUGAAAUCCCCGGGCUCAACCUGGGAACUGCAUUCGAAACUGGCAGGCUAGAGUCUUGUAGAGGGGGUAGAAUUCCAGGUGUAGCGGUGAAAUGCGUAGAGAUCUGGAGGAAUACCGGUGGCGAAGGCGGCCCCCUGGACAAAGACUGACGCUCAGGUGCGAAAGCGUGGGGAGCAAACAGGAUUAGAUACCCUGGUAGUCCACGCCGUAAACGAUGUCGAUUUGGAGGUUGUGCCCUUGAGGCGUGGCUUCCGGAGCUAACGCGUUAAAUCGACCGCCUGGGGAGUACGGCCGCAAGGUUAAAACUCAAAUGAAUUGACGGGGGCCCGCACAAGCGGUGGAGCAUGUGGUUUAAUUCGAUGCAACGCGAAGAACCUUACCUGGUCUUGACAUCCACAGAACUUUCCAGAGAUGGAUUGGUGCCUUCGGGAACUGUGAGACAGGUGCUGCAUGGCUGUCGUCAGCUCGUGUUGUGAAAUGUUGGGUUAAGUCCCGCAACGAGCGCAACCCUUAUCCUUUGUUGCCAGCGGUUCGGCCGGGAACUCAAAGGAGACUGCCAGUGAUAAACUGGAGGAAGGUGGGGAUGACGUCAAGUCAUCAUGGCCCUUACGACCAGGGCUACACACGUGCUACAAUGGCAUAUACAAAGAGAAGCGACCUCGCGAGAGCAAGCGGACCUCAUAAAGUAUGUCGUAGUCCGGAUUGGAGUCUGCAACUCGACUCCAUGAAGUCGGAAUCGCUAGUAAUCGUAGAUCAGAAUGCUACGGUGAAUACGUUCCCGGGCCUUGUACACACCGCCCGUCACACCAUGGGAGUGGGUUGCAAAAGAAGUAGGUAGCUUAACCUUCGGGAGGGCGCUUACCACUUUGUGAUUCAUGACUGGGGUGAAGUCGUAACAAGGUAACCGUAGGGGAACCUGCGGUUGGAUCACCUCCUUACCUUAAAGAA